rnacentral:rRNA from 1 species
CGAUAUAGUGGCAGACGGGUGAGUAACGCGUGGGAACGUACCUUUCACUACGGAAUAGCUCUUGGAAACGAGUGGUAAUACCGUAUACGCCCUUCGGGGGAAAGAUUUAUCGGUGAAAGAUCGGCCCGCGUUAGAUUAGCUAGUUGGUAGGGUAAUGGCCUACCAAGGCGACGAUCUAUAGCUGGUCUGAGAGGAUGAUCAGCCACACUGGGACUGAGACACGGCCCAGACUCCUACGGGAGGCAGCAGUGGGGAAUCUUGCACAAUGGGCGAAAGCCUGAUGCAGCCAUGCCGCGUGAAUGAUGAAGGCCUUAGGGUUGUAAAAUUCUUUCGCUAGGGAUGAUAAUGACAGUACCUAGUAAAGAAGCCCCGGCUAACUUCGUGCCAGCAGCCGCGGUAAUACGAAGGGGGCUAGCGUUGUUCGGAAUUACUGGGCGUAAAGCGCAGGUAGGCGGACUUUUAAGUCAGAUGUGAAAUCCCGGGGCUCAACCUCGGAACUGCAUUUGAAACUGGAAGUCUAGAGACCAGGAGAGGUUAGCGGAAUACCGAGUGUAGAGGUGAAAUUCGUAGAUAUUCGGUGGAACACCAGUGGCGAAGGCGGCUAACUGGACUGGUACUGACGCUGAGGUGCGAAAGUGUGGGGAGCAAACAGGAUUAGAUACCCUGGUAGUCCACACCGUAAACGAUGAGAGCUAGUUGUUGGCAGGCAUGCCUGUCGGUGAC